rnacentral:rRNA from 1 species
CAUUUGAAACUGGCAGGCUAGAGUACUGUAGAGGGGGGUAGAAUUUCAGGUGUAGCGGUGAAAUGCGUAGAGAUCUGAAGGAAUACCAGUGGCGAAGGCGGCCCCCUGGACAGAUGCUGACACUCAGAUGCGAAAGCGUAGGGAGCAAACAGGAUUAGAUACCCUGGUAGUCCACGCCGUAAACGAUGUCUACUUGGAGGUUGUGGCCUUGAGCCGUGGCUUUCGGAGCUAACGCGUUAAGUAGACCGCCUGGGGAGUACGGUCGCAAGAUUAAAACUCAAAUGAAUUGACGGGGGCCCGCACAAGCGGUGGAGCAUGUGGUUUAAUUCGAUGCAACGCGAAGAACCUUACCUACUCUUGACAUCCAGAGAACUCGCUAGAGAUAGCUUGGUGCCUUCGGGAACUCUGAGACAGGUGCUGCAUGACUGUCGUCAGCUCGUGUUGUGAAAUGUUGGGUUAAGUCCCGCAACGAGCGCAACCCUUAUCCUUGUUUGCCAGCACGUAAUGGUGGGAACUCCAGGGAGACUGCCGGUGAUAAACCGGAGGAAGGUGGGGACGACGUCAAGUCAUCAUGGCCCUUACGAGUAGGGCUACACACGUGCUACAAUGGCGCAUACAGAGGGCAGCCAACCAGCGAUGGUGAGCGAAUCCCAAAAAGUGCGUCGUAGUCCGGAUUGGAGUCUGCAACUCGACUCCAUGAAGUCGGAAUCGCUAGUAAUCGUGAAUCAGAAUGUCACGGUGAAUACGUUCCCGGCCCUUGUACACCCCACCCGUCACACCAUGGGAGUGGGCUGCAAAAGAAGUGGGUAG